rnacentral:rRNA from 1 species
GUUUUGUACGACAAAAUUGCACAAGAAAGGUACAAGGACAUGGAAGCUUCCGGUAAAAAGGCAUUUCAACUAGAGCAUUGUUGGAAACUUCUUCAAGAGAGCGAGAAGUGGAAGUUGAUUGAGAAAGAAUCCCCACCGAAGAGAGAUGCACUCACUAAGAUGGAUGAUGAUGAUGAAGGUGAUGAUGGCCCAUGAAAUAAGAACAAGCCCGAUGGAAACAAGAAGGCCAAGUACAAGAUCAAGAAGGAAGCAGAGGCAUCAAGCUUGCAAGACAAGCUAGAUCACAUGGUCAACUCCAAUGAGCUAUUGGUGAUCAAUACAUUGGAGGCAAAGAAGGAGUUGGGAGAGAAAAAGGCUCAAGAGAAGCAAGAGAAGUGGCAACUACUCAAGGAGGACACCAUGCGCAAGGCCGCCAUUGAGGAGAGAAGAUCCAUGGCCGAUGAGAAUAGAGCCAUGGCCAAGCUCCUUCAAGAGGAGAACAAGAUUAUGAUGAUGAAUCAAAAUGAGAUUGAUGAGGUCACCAAAAAAUGGCAUGACAUGGCAAGGUUGGAGAUCUUGGAGAGGAGGAGGCUAGCCGCAAGAGAACAUGCGGUGCCAAGGUUUGGUGGUUCGGCAAGUGGUGGUGGCAAUGGUGGCAGUGAAGAUUUCAUCUUAUGA